rnacentral:rRNA from 1 species
AUACGUAGGGUGCAAGCGUUAAUCGGAAUUACUGGGCGUAAAGCGUGCGCAGGCGGUUUUGUAAGACAGAGGGGAAAUCCCCGGGCUCAACCUGGGAACUGCCUUUGUGACUGCAAGGCUAGAGUACGGCAGAGGGGGAUGGAAUUCCGCGUGUAGCAGUGAAAUGCGUAGAUAUGCGGAGGAACACCGAUGGCGAAGGCAAACCCCUGGGCCUGUACUGACGCUCAUGCCCGAAAGCGUGGGGAGCAAACAGGAUUAGAUACCCUGGUAGUCCACGCCCUAAACGAUGUCAACUGGUUGUUGGGUCUUCAUUGACUCAGUAACGAAGCUAACGCGUGAAGUUGACCGCCUGGGGAGUACGGCCGCAAGGUUGAAACUCAAAUGAAUUGGCGGGG